rnacentral:tRNA from 1 species
UGACUUGAUACUUUAAGGUAAAAGAUUUGAUUUGCAUUCAGACAAUAAGUUUUUAAACUUUCGGGUCAU